rnacentral:lncRNA from 1 species
UUGUCUUCUAGACAAUAUCCACUCUCAGAAUAAGUCCUCAUUACAUUUAUUAUCACACUAUUUAACAGAAUAGUGAGGACUACUAAUACUAUCAUCUGGACCAUCACUCCAUUCCACGACUAGUCCCGGCUACGUUCUCAUUUCCUGAAGAGAACAGUGAAAGAAAGGGUGAGCUCAACUAGCCCAGUAAGAAAUAUUAUGACUAAGAUAAUGCAGAAUAAAUUAUCAUUAGUCUUCAACA